AGAUUGACUUGGCAAUAUUGAGUUUUCAGUAGUCGGAUGAAAGUAUAUGCGGUUAGGAUGAUAGUGGACUCUUAGGGCUGAGUGGAUGGUUGAUUGAAUAGUAUAGUGUGACGGAUGAAAAUGAUCAAAGAGUAGGUCUAACGAUAGAAAAUUUGAUAAUACUAAGAACUUGAUACUAUCUCGAUAGUAUAGUAGUCGGAAUCUCGUAUAUAUAUUAUAUAUAUUAUAUAAUAUAUAUAUAAUAUAUAUAUAUAUAUAUUAUAUAUUAUAAUAUAGAAUUAUGUAUAUACUAUAUCAAUAGUUAUAUCAAGCCUUAGUACUAUUGAAUUUUUGGCCGUUGGAUGAAAGGAUGUGCGGUUAGGAUGAUAGUGCUUCCCAAUUAAAUGAUAGUAGUCUUCUAGGGUUGAGUGGGGGUGUUGUUUAAUAGUAUAAUCUAAUGGGUGUAAAUGAUCAAAAUGUAGAUCUAAUGGUAGGAAACUCAAUAGUACCAAGGGCUUGGUACUUAUCAAUAGUAUAGUAGCCGAACUAUAUAUAUAUAUAUAUAUAUAUAUAUAUAUAUAUAUAUAUAUAUAUAUAUAGAGAGAGAGAGAGAGAGAGGAGAGAGAGAGGCUACUAUGCUUUUGGAAGCACCGGACCCUUCGUGCUUCCAGGUCAUUUCUCAUGUUGCGAAUUUCGAAUCAUCGAUCGGCUCUGUUAAACUUGAUUUGGAGUAUUUGAAGUACCUAGAAAAUAAAUUAUGCGAUUUUUUGAUAUUAUUUGCCUAGUGGACGAAGAGGCUCAAAAUCAACGGCUGAAAAUAAAAUCUUACAAAAUGUAAUAAUAUGACAUUAAAAUUUUAGAUCAAAGAUAUUGAUCUUGUUUUAUAUAGUAUAACGAAUUUCUAUCGAAAUUUUACUGAUUUGGAUAUUUCUACACCGUUAAGUUUGCAAACGGCUAACUGCGGCCAUUAAAAUUAUUGUUUUGAGCCCCUUCGAUCACUAGGCAAAUGAUAUUGAAAAAUCAUAAAAUUUAUUUUCUAGGUACUUCAGAUACCUCUAGAUCAAAUUUAACGGAGUCGAUCGACGAUUCGUAGUAACCUCUCUCUCUCUUCUCUCUCUUUCUCUUCUCUAGUAUAUAUAUAUAUAUAUAUAUAUAUAUAUAUAUAUAUAUAUAUAUAUAUAUAUAUAUAUAUAUAUUUCUUAUUCUACUAGUUGUUAACUAGAAAUAAUUUUUUUAAAAAAAAAUAAAGUAAGUUUAGGAAAAAAAAAAUCUAGUUUUGUAAAAAUUUAUUAAAAACUAACACUUUAAUUAUUUUUAGCAAUAACUUUUUAAAUAAAAUUAGAUAAAGAUUAAAAAUUUUGCCCAAAUCUCUCUCCUAGUUUUAUCUCCAUCCAUAAUAACUCAAAAUUCUUUUAAUUAUACAUCAUGAUUUAUGCUUUUAUAUAAAGAGCGCUAAUCUUACUUACAAGGGCUCAACCAUAGCAUUUAUAAAUUUCGACAUGACUCAACUUUUCCAAACGUUAGGUUUAUUAUUAGGUCUUUUACUGUUACUUAAGAUUUUUAGGUUUAAUCCAACUUAACUGAUUAAUUUUCUGAAUCUAUUAUUAUAGAUAGAAUGUUAGACCUAUUUUAGCGAAUAAUAAAUUGCAACCUUAUAUGCUAUCUAGAUAGAUGCUCUUUCUAGAACAAAUGAAAAGGAAGUGGAAAAAAUGGAAUAAAAUAGAAGAAAACGAGUGAUGUGAUUAUAAGUUAAAAAGGAUGGGUUUGGCGCCCGAGUAUAUCGCUAAGCCGCGUUUGUUGUGGAAUUUUUUUUUUUUGAGUGUCCCCAUAUUUUCCACAGAUCCACCCAUCCAAUUAAAUCCUAGUUCAUGAAAUAUUACGCAUAAUUUUUUAAAUCAUAGAAUGAAAAAAUAAAAAUGAGUUAACUUUUAAAAUAGUUACGUAUAAUUUUUUGAACUGUAAAAUAACAAAAUAAAAAUAAAUUAAAGACAUCGGAAGAGAAAUUAAAGUUUACUCUCAGGACUCGUUUGGUUCAUAGUUUGUAAUAUUUGGAUAUCUUUUUAUAUUUUUUAUUAAAAAUAUUCGAAUUAUUGUCAUUAACUCACACGAAGGAGUAUUCUCUUUGCCUAAAUUUGAUGAUUUUUUUUUCAUUUUUUUUUACUUUAUAUAAUAUAUAUAUUUUAUUAUUUAAAACUAUUUUAUUUUAAAAACGUGUGCAACAAACGCGCGAGUGUAAAGAAAAACCGCGCCCCUCCCAUUAUGCGGACGCCGCCGACUCGGAGGAUGGUGAAACCGCGUGGAAGUAGGGAUGUCAAUUUGUUAAUGGGUAUGAAUACUCAAAAUUUUAUCCGAAUCCGAAUUCGAAUGAAACGGAUAUAUUCGAUGCUAAAUGGAUAUUGGUUCGGAUAUGAAUAUCAAAAAUAGAAAUCCGACGGAUAUGAAUUUGGAUAUAAAUUUUAACUGUACCCAAUCCGAACCCAAAUUUAUUUUGUAUUAUAUAUAAUAUAUAUAUAAAAAUUUGAUGUUAUAUUUGAAUUUGUAUUUUAAAAUGUAAGAGAGUAUCCAAAUUAGAAUGAAAAUUUAAUAAAAAAUGUCAAUUAACAUCAAUAGCAAGCCAUACUGCCGAUUUGAAAUUUGAGUUUUUUUAUUAUUAUUUUUGGAUUUUAUUUUCAGACCGUUAUUUUAUGGAUACUCUUUAUAUUACAAAUGAAUGUCAUAGAAUUAUUGAAAUUUGGGUAUCUAGUAGUCUAAUGAGCGUAGAUCAUUUCUAAUGGAACUGAUCGCCGAAGUCGUAUGUCCCAUUAUUGGAAACACUUAUAAGUACGGAGGGCUUUGGUACUUUCGAAAAGAUUAGCCGAGCUAGCGCUCUCUCCCUCUCUUCUCUCUCUUCGAUUAUAUAUAUAUAUAUAUAUAUAGAGUUACACUGAUAUGCCUUAUCGGGAAGCCGCGAGCCUUUCGUGCUUCCUAGCUCUGCGUUUUCAUAUUGCGACUUUUCAAAAUCAUUCGAUCGGCUCCGUCUAAAUUGAUCUAGAGUAUUUGAAGUACCUAGAAAAUAAUUUUAUGUUUUACGAUAUCAAUUUGCUAGUGAAACGAAGGGGCUCAAGAUCAACACUGAAAAUAAAAAUCUUUAAAAAAUGUAAUAAUAUGACAUUAAAAAUUUUAAAUCAAAGAUUAUUGAUAUUAUGUUAUAUAGUACUAAAGAAUUUUAUUCAAAAUUUCACGGUGAUUAGGAUAUUUUUCUUACCCGUUAAACUUGCACGUUCACUACGGCCAUUGAAAUUUGUUGAUUGAGCAGGGCGGUCAGUAGAGAUGUGAGUGAAAAAUAAUAAAUGAUAUCGAAAAAUAAUAAAUUUUUGCUAGGUACUUCGAGAUACUUUAGCAUCAGUUUAAUGAGUCGAUCGACGAAUUUCAAAUAGUGCCAAUAUCGAAAAACAGCUGGAGCACGGAAGGCUCGUGCUUCGAUAGCAUGUAGCCUCACGUAUAUAUAUAAAUAUAUAUAAUAAUAUAUAUAUAUAUAUUAUAUAAUAUUAGAUAUAAGUAUAUAUAUUAGUGGGGCUAGAAUACUGUAAAAGUAUCAUGGGCCGGUGAUACUUGUAUUUUUAGCCCUUGGAUGAAAGAUGUGAGGUGAGAUGAUGGUGUAGGUGGCGAUGGUAGAUGUGAUGUGGUUUAAUCCAAGGGGCUAUUAAUAUAAAAAGUAGAUCCAAUGGCUUAAAACUAAUAUGCACAUGAUGGUGAUACUGUAUAAAGUAUCAUAGUCAACUNNNNNNNNNNNNNNNNNNNNNNNNNUAUUAUAAAUAUAUAUAUAUAUAUAUAUAUUAUAUAUAUAUAUAUAUAUAUAUAUAAAAAUUUGAUAUUAUUUUAAUUGUAUUUUAAAAUUUAGAAUUAAUAAAAUAUAUUUGAAAUAUUGAAAAAAGAAAUAAAUUGUUUCGAGUUCGGAAUUCACUUCAAGUUUGAAUUUUUGAGUCGGAUUCGGGUUUGGAUAUGGAUUUUUAAAUCCGUCGGGUUCAGCAUUCGGGGUAUUCGAGUUUAGAUUUUGGGUCUCGGUUUGGAGUGGUUCGGGUUUGGAUUUUUUAAAAAAUCCCGCCGAUCCAACCCGUUUGAGGGGGGGGGGGGGGGGUCAUCUUACGUGGAAGCGAGGUUUGAAGGGGGAAAAUCAGGUAUGGUGCGGACCGUACUAGCCCAUAAGCUACACUAGGACUCUUUUCUACUGCGCAACUCAAUUGUUGCUUGUAUUGCUUCACUAUUCUCAGAAAAAGCCUCAGUUUUCUUGGGCACGGUUUGUAGAGGGCCGCCCUCGAUGGCGAUCCGCCGUUCCGUCGGCCCCACCGCGUCGAAAAUUCCGGUCCCUCCACCGGUACGUUGCCAGUGCGUGGCCGAAGUUCUGAAGGAUCGUCAGCUUCCAGUCGUUCGUGCACUCUUGCGGUUCUGCGGCAUGUUAGACACUCCAGUCUCGCAGGUCUUGAGCGAGUAACAGAGAACAGUGCUCAUUGACAGAGCUGUUUUUUACUACUUAUAAAUUUGAUUAGUCUGAUCCGAUAUUAAUAAAUCUCCUUGUUGAUAGUAAUUUGGCGGUAGGAUCAUCUGGGAUGCUCUACUUUGAAAGAACAAGAUUCGUAUGUUAUUUUGAUUUGAAUUGGUUUACUUCCUAGUGAGGAGUAGUACAAUGUAUUCUUUGUACAGUUUCUAUGUAAUUUUUGAUUUGGAAUUGCGUUUUGUUCCAAAAUUCUAUGAGCUUUUUCUUGAGUACAGCUUAGUUAGAGCUUCUAAAGAUAUGUUAGAUUUUUGUUUAAAUUGCUGUAAUCUAAGUGGAAGUCAAAUUCUUAUCAUUAAUUAGGAAUUAAGUGAGAUUUAAAUUUAUUAUAGGGUAUAACUAGAAGUUCAAUUAAACUGCGAGUCUAAUUUUACUCUAAUUGCGAAGCUAUGCUUUAUAUAUAGUGCAUUGAUUACUUAGGCAGAAUGAACAAGUCAAACACAGUUUGAAUUUUUUAGCUCGAUAUUUUAAUGAGCUAACUCGUGUUCUGCCUCGUUUAAAUAAUGAACAAAACACGAGUUAGGUUCAUAACCUGGAGUUCCUAACUCACCGGUGCUCUAAUAUAAACGAGGAAAACAUAAUUAAUAAUUCAACCCAAGAUUUUUUUUUUUUAAUUUCAUUUUUAAGGUAACCCAAGGGCAGUGACUUGGUUCAGAAUCAAAGAAAAUAAGCUCUUAUUCCCCCUUUAUUCCCAACAUCGUAUUUGGUAUCUGAGCAACAGUAGUUCUCAUAUUUCUGAAUAAGCUGGUAUUAAAGCUUGCGAAUGUGUUUCCAUCUCUCUUUUUUUUCUCUCUCUCUCUCUCUCUCUCUCUAUAUAUAUAUAUAUAUAUAUAGAGAAUUAGGCUGGAAUGCUAUUAAUAGUAAAACGCUUUUUUUGCUAUCAAGUUUUUAACCCUUGGAUGAAAAAUUGUAGGGUCGAAAUGAUAUUAGUCGGUUAGAGUUGAGUGGCCCCCCUAGGGUUGAGUGGUCCCUACUGGGUUAUAGUAUUUAAUCCAAUGGUUAGAAAUAAUGAAAAGAGUUGAUCCAAAGGCUAAAAAACUGAUAGCAACAAUGGGAUUUUGCUAAUAAUAGUAGCCCAGUCCAACUCUCUCUCAUAUAUAUAUAUAUAGUAGAGCUAGUAUGUUAUCGGAAGCUUAGAGGAUAUAAUACUUUCAAUUUUUUGACCCUUAGAUCAAUACUUUUGAUCAUUUCGAGCCUUGGAUUAAUACUAUUACCCUGUAGGGACCACUCAACCCUAGGGAUACUACUCAAUCCUGAGGGAACCACAAUCAUCUCAAUCGUAUAAUUUUUGAUCCAAUGGUCAAAAAGUUAGAAGCAUUAGAUCCUCUAUGUUUCCGAUAGCAUAGUACCUCUACACUAUAUAUACAUAUGGGCCCACAUUUUUUUUUUUCUCUCUCACACCCUACACCUUUUUUUUUAUUUAUUUUUUCCUUCAACACUUUUUUUAAAAAUUUUUUUGCCUACACCAAGUGUAAAAUUUUAUCGCAUAGACUAACCUUAUUUUUUAAUAGUCGAUAUAACAAAAUUAAAAUUUCAUAUGAUGUAAAAAAUUUCAAAUACUUUCCUUGUGAUUUCGCAUUUUCUCCACUUUUUUUUUUCUCUCGUGUAAAAUUUUAUCACAUGAACCAACUCUAUUUUUUAAUAGUCUAUAUAAUAAAAUUAAAAUUUCGUCUAUAUACCAUACAUGAAUCUGGAACCCAUAAGUAUACGGCAGCCCUCUCCACACUCCUCCGUAUAGAAUGUAUGUAGUUGUAAUUGCUGUAUUUUUAACUAUAUGCAUAUCCAACUACACUGUAUUUAUAAUUAUAUCUAAUCAAAUAGUUCCUUAAUAAUCAAAUAGUUCCUUAAUAUAGUAAAACAAGUAAAGUAAUAAAAAUAAAAUAAAUAAAAGUAAAGAAUAGAUUAUAUAUAAACCAUUAGAUCAUAUGAUUCAUAUCUACGCGUGCAUCAACGACACCCUUUUUCUUCUCUCUACACGUGAUCUUUCUCCUUUUUUUUUUUUAAUUCGCAUUCGUAAAUUUCUCAUAACUUAUUCCAUAUGGAGGAGUAUUAUCUUUGUUUUUUUUUUUUCAAUUUUUGUUUACUUUAUAUAAUAUAUAUUUUAUUAUUUAAAAUUAUUUCAUUUUAAAAACAUGUGCAACAAACGCGCGAGGGUAAAGAAAAACCGGCGCACCUCCCAUUAUGCGGACGCCGCCGACUCGGAGGAGGGGAAAACCGCGUGGGACCCGCAUAGGCGUCCCUAUAAGUACACGAGAACUCUUUCUCUACGACAACUCAAUUGUUGUUGUACACUUCACUAUUCUCAGAGAAAGCCUCAGCUUAGGCUCGAUGGCGAUCCCGCCGCUCCGUCGGCCCCGCCCGUCGAAAAUUCCGGUCCCUCCACGGCACGUGCCAGUGCGUGGCCGAAUUCUGAAGGGGAUCCUCAGCUCCAUCGCUCGCGCACUCUUACAGCUUUGCGGCAUGUCAAACACUCCAGUGUCACCGGACUGAGGAGGAGUGACAAAAGAACAGUGCUAUUGACAGAGCUGUUUUACUAUUUAUAAAUUGCAUUAGUUCUGAUCGGAUUUAAUAAAUCUCCUUGUUGGUAGUAAAUUUGGUGGUAGGAUCAUCUGAUGGUCUACUUAGAAAAAACCAAAGAUUCUAUGUAAUUUUGAUUGAAUUUCUUUGUUCCUAGGAGGAGUACUACACUUGUAUUCUUUGUACAGUUUCUAAUAAUAAGUUGAAGUUGAUUUUUGUGGAUAGAGUGUUGGAGGAGGUACUGCAUAAUGGGUCAAAAGUAUUUCUCACUAGGGAAACAAUUUAGGGCUUGUUUGGUUUAUCCAUUUUGGGUAUGGAAUGGGAAUCGCUUUGAUCAAAUUCGGUUAAUUUUUUUUGGUUCGCAUGAAUCGGUUUGGGAUUUCUAUUCCGGACUGGAAUGGGAAUGACCCAUUAGCCUUCAACUUGAUUCCGGCCUUCUACCCCGAAUUGAGAUUUCAUUUCGGAAGCCCAAUAAGUUCUCGAAGCCCAUGUGACUAUCUCACCCUCUUUCUCUUCACCCCUUUCUCAUCAAAAAAAAAAAAAAAAAAACCUAUCAUCUCUCAAAAGCUUAUCCCUAACCCACAUCAAUAAAAAAUUUUAAAAAUAAAUUUCAUAUAUUUUUUAGAAAACUUAUUAGAGAAUAGUAUUAUAUUUUUCAUAAAUUUUAAAUAAUAUAAAUUUAUAUUUGAGAGUAAAAUUAGUAUUAUAGUAUCCUAUAAUUUUUUUAGUUUAUACGAACCAAACAAUGAAAUGUGAAUAACUCAUUCCAAUUCCCAAUCCACAAAUAAACCAAACGUCUUGGGAGAGUGGGUCAUUUCAAUUACCAUUCUAAUUCAUUCUCAUUCUAUCAUCCAUUCUAAUUCCACCUUUGAACCAAACAAGUCCUUAAUGUUAUGAUUUAGAAGUUAUAAAUAGAGUGUCUUUGAAUACUUAAAGUUUCGUAUCAGAAGUUUUCAAGAAAUCAAUCGAGUUUUAGCAAAAUCUCAUCUAUGAGGUCGUAUUGAUUGGUUGAAAGCCCUGAAACAGAGAUUCAUUCUAGGGAUAUAGAUAAAAAUCUAUAUAAAAAGUCAAAAGUAAAGAACAAAUACUAUGGGCAUAAAGUUAAGGGAAACUUAAUUUGAGCAAACAAUAGAGGCAUAAAGCCAAAAUGUAAAGAGGGACCACAAAUACAGCAAAAGUGGGAAUAUUUGGCUUUUUCUUUAAGUACCAAGCUAGUUAGAGCUUCUAAAGAUAUGUUAGAUUUUUUGUUUAAAUUUGUAAGUCAAAUUCUAAUUUACUUAGAAUAAGAGGAGAUUUAAAUUUAUAUAGAGUGUAACUAGAAAUUCAAUUAAACUACGAGUCUAAUUAUACUUUAAAUUGGAAGAUAUGCUUUAUAUAUAGUGUAUGAUACUCGGCUAGUAAUAAAUAAGUCGAACACGAACUGAAUUUUUUAGCUCGAUAUUUUAAUGAGCUAACUCGUGUUUGACUCGUUAAAUAAAUGAGCAAAUACGAGUCAGUUCUAACUUGAGUUCCUAACUCACCGGUGCUCUAAUUAAAACGAGAAAACAAGAUUAAUUAAUUCAACCCAAGAUGUUUUUCUUUUAUUUUUAUUUUAAGGUAAACCCAAGGACAGUGUUUGAUUCGGGAACAAGAGAGGAAUAAGCGAAUGUUCUUCUUUUUGUUCCCAAACGUUGUGUUUGGUAUCUGAGAACAGUAGUUUUCAUAUUUUAGAAAUAAGCUGGUAUAAGUCUGGAACUGUUGUUCUAUUAUUUUUUCUGGAAUAAGUUUGUUCCCAGGUGGGAACAAGAUUAAUUAAAGUCAAAAUUUAAUUUUAAUUAUGAUAUUAAAUUAUUAAGUAAUCUAAUUAAUAUAUUUAAAUUAUUAUUUAUUACUUAAAUAAUAAAAUAAUUAAUUUAUUUAUUAUUUAUAAUUAAUUAUUAAUAAUUUAAUGUAUUUAUUCAUAAACUAAUAUUUAUUUAUUGAUUAACCAUUAAUAUUUUUAAUAAUCUAAUUAAUUUUUUUACUAGUUAUCUAGCUAAAAUAAUUUACUAACUAAGUAAAAAGUUAAAUUAUUUUUUAUAAUUAAUUAAUAUAUUUUUAUUAUCUUAUACAAUAUUGAUAGCUAAUAAAUUUAUUAAUUUACUAAAUUAUCUUUAAGUAAUAUUUUGAUGUCAAUUAAUUAGAUAAAAUAAUUUUAAUUUAAAAUUAUAACUCUUAUUCCUCUUGUUCCAAUUUAAUCAUCCAAACAUUAUUUACCUUAUUUUUAGAAACAAUCUAAUUUUCAUCCAAACGCAAAGUUUUUGCUUAUAUCUGAACUUAUACCAAUUCUUAAAAUAGACAGUUCUUACUUAUACUGGAACCAAAUGCAGGCACGCAGCCACCGUGUAUUGUGGGUGCUGCGUGAUAAAGAGCCGAGCAUUGGGUCCCACUACACCGACGCGUUUUUCGGGCAUUUUUUGGCCGGAUGCCAUUGAGCGCCGACUAUAUUCUUUUUAUUUUCAGUUUCUGGAGACACAUAUUUUAUACUCUACCUUCAAUAUUAAAAUAAAAUUUUGGAUAUAAACCAGUGACCGAAUUAUAUAAUUUUUAUACAUAUAUAUUUUUGCACUAAUUUUUUUUGGAUUUAUUUUCCGUGUUUUGUUUUAACAAGAUAGCAGAAAUAGUUAUUGUAUGAAGUUUUUCUUUUAAAAAAGCAGCAACUGUUUUUGUCGUUAAAAUUUGUUAGAUUCUUAACAUAGAAAAAUUGAAAAUUUCAAAUUAGAGCUUGCUGUGAAAACUUACAAACUUACUUCAACCAAAUUUAUUUUUACUAAGCAAAAUCUGGUCAUUGAUUUUUGAAGAAUCUAUUUCAAAAGUUACAUGUAACGCACUUGGAUUUACAAAUAAGUAUUGCUACAAAUCUUGAGGGUAUUUGUUUCACUAAAAAUGCAGAGAAAUAAAGUGAUUUUUUUAAAAAUGUAUAAUUCCGUUGUUUGGUUCACCGUAUCUUUACUCUGGUUGAAACUUAAACUCUCCAAAAUAGUAUAAUUGAUUUCGCCCCCACCUCAUACUAAAGUCCAUUCUAAAGUCAAUUAUAAGUAAAAAAAAAAAUAAACGAAAUAUUAAUUUAUCUCUCACGCAUCCUUUUUUUACGUUAUUCAUUUUAUGCCAAACAAAUAAUCAAAUUGAAAGAACUUCACUAACACAAAUAUAUAAAGAAACAACAGAAGAAUUUUUCUUUUUACUUAAACUUAAGUUCAUCCAAAAAUUUACUUUAAUCUAAAUUUUAUCUUUGGCGAAAUAAACAGAGCCGUGCGAAGAACCAGCUUUAUGAACACAAUUUAAAGUGCCAUUUAAGUACUUCAAUACGCCAAUAAAAUUGUGUUACGCCCCACCUCACUAAAGUUUAGUUCUUUCCAAGUAGUAAUACCUAGUCAUUAUGUUGUACACUUGUACUUGAAAAAUAAUAAUAAUUGGGUAAAGUAGGUGUUCUUACGGAGGGGAAGAACGUUAUAGUACAGUGCGAUAACCCUCCACGCCCCGCGGGAUAUGCAGAAGUUAGGUGUGCGACAUGGUAUAUGCCACAGCACUCGGCAGAUUUGAGACGAUCUAGAGGGGGAAGGAGGCGAGGCGGACAAACGAAUCGUGAGAAAUGAAGUACACAACACGUAACCCUCUCAUGAAAACUCAAAUUUUAAUAUAUCUAUUGAUUUGUUGGGAUUAGGUUGUUACUCUGGUCCUUAUGGAUGUAAUAAAAUAUUAAAUCCAACAUUAGAAAACACCUACAUUAAGGAGGGGUCUGAUUUUCCAGAAAACAUUUUAAAAAAUAACUUUCUAAUUAAAAAUAAUAUUUUCGUCCGUUUAGAUUUUUUAAAAAAUAAUUUUUCUAAAAAUUUUUUCUCAGAUUUCAUUAAAAGAGUCUCCUUUUUUCAGUUUUCUGUUUUUUUAUUUGAAAAAUAAAAAUUAUGAAAAUAAUUUUUUGAAUUUAAAAAAUUUUUGUUGGAAAAAUAGUUUUUUACACUUUUCCGACGAACCUAGCACACCCUUAAAAUCUAUUUGAAUUUAAUUGUACUCAAAUACGUAUAUAAAAAUUAGAUUUUAGUAAGUUUUUGAAAUUUUUUUCAUGUGAAAUAUUGUAGCAACCUGUAGACUUAAAUUUAUUAAUUAUAUAUUUAAAUCAAUUUUUAUUCUUGCACAAAAUUCUCCAUUGGGUUAUAUAUUUCAUCGCCCUUAUUCAAAUAUUUUUAUUGUAUGAUCGUAUUAAGAUAAACUUCAAAUUCGAUACUAUCGAAAAAUUUUAUUUUAAGGACUUAAUUACUUUAGGAUUAAUCGCACCAACAGUUCCUAAACUUUACUUUUUUUUUCAGUUUAUAGUCCCUAAUCUUUUUUUUUUAACUAUUAUGUCCCCAACUUUCAUAAUUGGGUUCAUAUCGAUUAUGAUCAUGAUUCAUCGAUCCACGCCGGUUAAUCUUGGCACAGACUUUUCUAAGUUUUAAGAAGCACUUGAUUGCACGUCUGGCUCAACAUCAGGACGUCAGAUCUUUCGAAAGAUAUAAUAGGCGCUGUUUUUGUGGUCAGAGAUAUAAAGAACGAUAUUGAGAGCGGUGAAAUUAGACUUAACGUCAUUAGAGCACGUAUCGAAGAAGUGGUUAGAGACGACGAGUAAUGCACUUAUUCUUAAUUCCAAAAAUAAAAAUUUGGGACCAAAAUGAUAAAUGGAAUAAAAAUUGUUAUCGAAUGGUGCAAUUAACUAUAACAUCCAAAUUAUUCCACAUCGAAAUAUGAGAAAGUGAAGAAUCCGGUGAUUCAUCGGCCGAAAUUAUGAGCUGGAAGAUUGGACUGACGAGAACGUACAAACCUAAAGCGAAAAAAAACAUGUAACACCAAAAUAGGCUUGUAUAUAUUAAUGUGACAUAUAUAUAUAUAUAUAUUAGAAUGAAUAACUAAGUUUAAGUAUUUUGAGCCAAUAAUUUGAAUUCAACGAGUUUUCAAAGUUUAGUUUAGUGGAUUAGUCUGGUAUAUUAUAUAAAUUAACCCCAUAAAAGAUACGAUCCGUACUCCCAUUUGACCUACCUCGGUUUUUCGUAUCCAUUUUUUUUUUUUCCUCGCUUUUAAACUCGGGAUAUUUUUUCUCCUCACCGUGCUUCUUGCUAUUCUUUCCUCUAUAUAUAUAUAAAUAAAUCUUAGACUACUCUCAAUAUAGAGAGAGAUACGGCGACGACGGCGACGGUGGCGAUGACGACAGCGGCGGCGUUUACCAUCCUACUAUGUUCAAUGAUUGUCACGGUCGCGUCAAGCGCGGUAAAUCACCGCUACCUGGCGGGAGAUCCCGUGCCGUUCUAUGCCAACAAAGUCGGCCCUUAUCACAACCCUAGGUACGGUGCCUUCUCUUGUAACUUUUCCGCUAGUCUUUUCACAUACUAUUUAACUCAAAAAACGAAUCGCAACAUUCUUUUACGUUUCGAAUGGAUUUUGGUUGCACAUUAUCAUUGUUAAGAACAUUAUUUCUGAAUCAUUUCAUAUAAGGUUGAGAGUUUCUAAUCAAGUUCGACUUUUUUUGGUUUAUUGCUUCAUUUUUUUUUGGUUAUCUUUUUUCAGUCAGUGCACGUGAUAUGAUUCACCUGAUAUUAAUCAUAUGAGUGAGUAAAAAAUUAAAUCUAGUCGUGAGAUAUGAAUUUGUUACCUUUUUCAUUAUUUCUAUUACAUAGAGUUAUAUAUACCAUAUACCAUAUUAUUCAUUAAAAUGUACAAUACAUAUGUAUUGUCAUGUUACGUUAUAUUAUGUUUUAUUGUGUUCUUCAAUGAUACAAUAUACUAUAGGUUAAGAUAUUUUGAUUUAUUUUUAUUAUAACUCAUUCGUCGCGAUUGUUUGUUUCAGCGAGACGUAUCGGUACUUCGAUCUUCCAUUCUGCUCCCCAGGUAUGUCUUCUUGUUUUUCGAUCAUCUUAUCUUCCGUUAUUUCUUCCUCAUCUUAAACUUUCGUAACAGAACGCGCGAAGGAUAAGUUUGAAGCACUAGGUGAAGUUCUGAACGGCGACCGCCUCGUCGAUUCGCCUUACAAGGUCGACUUUCACGUAGAUGUAGAAUCAAAGUCUGUGUGCAGAAAGAAGCUGACGAAAGAAGACGUCGCAAAGUUCAGGAAUGCAGUCAGCAAUGACUACUACUUUCAAAUGUACUUCGAUGACUUGCCCGUCUGGGGAUUCAUCGGUAAAGUCGACAAGGACAGCCAGACCGAUCCGCGAGAUUACAAGUACUUUCUGUACAGCCACAUUCGGUUCACCAUUCUGUACAACAACGACCGAGUGAUCGAGAUCGAUGCUCACGCUGCCGUCGACGCUGUGGUCGACGUUACGGAGGAUGAGGACACCGAAGUGGAGUUCCUCUACUCGGUGAAGUGGGAGGGGACGAGCACGCCCUUUGCGAGUAGGAUGGACAGGUUUCUGCUGCCGUCGAUGCUGCCUCACCAGUUGCGGAUCCACUGGUUCUCAAUCAUAAACUCGUGCGGGACUGUUCUGCUGCUCGUGGGGUUUUUCGGCACGAUCUUGUUGCGGAUACUGAAGAAUGAUUUUCGCCGGUAAGGACUCGGAAGCUUCUUCCAACUUUGCGUGCCAUACAAGUUGUAUUCGAUCUGAUCACAUUAGAUUGCAAAAGCAACAGAAGUGUAUCUUUUCCUGAACUAAUUUCAUGACUACAAAAAUUGCAUCAAUCAAACAGAUCACAGUUGAUUCCCAGGAACUGUAUCUCGAUAUUUCGCUUGCUCGUAUUGUUGGACACAAUCUAUGCAGUUAUGCGAUUCGCUCGCAGUUUUGUUUACUUUGUUUAUUCACGCAUAAAGGUAUGCUGAGGAUGACGAAUCGGGAGAAGAUCAAGAUGAAACCGGAUGGAAGAAUAUUCACGGUGACGUCUUUAGGUUUCCGAUGAACAAGUCGCUGUUCGCUGCGUUCAUCGGUUCUGGCACCCAGCUAAUUGCUCUGUAAACUUCAACAACAGCGUUCUGAUGUAGAAAAGUAUGAUUCUUUUAUCGUUUAUUUCUCUUAUAUGUUGUUUUCUCGUCAUCGCAGGACGAUUUCCAUUUUUAUCCUUGCUAUAAUCGGAGUGUUCUACCCGUACAAUCGCGGAGCCCUUUUCACGGCAUUGGUUGUUAUUUAUACGCUUACAUCCGGCAUUGCCGGUUAUGUUGCAGCUAACUUCUACCGUCAAAUUGAAGGAACAAACUGGGUGUGUGAUGCUCUUUCGCGUUCUUUCGCGCAUCCUGCUUUUAACUUCCUACUGAUUUUGUAUAAUCGAGAAUCGAGAAUUAAUGUUAUUUUCACUGGUUUUCCAUUCAUCUUGAUUCUGCAGAUUAGGAAUUUGCUUCUGACAGGAUGUCUCUUUUGCGGCCCCCUAUUCGCAACAUUCUGCUUCCUCAACACUGUCGCCAUCUUAUACAAUUCUACAGCUGCAUUACCGUUCGGCACGAUCACAGUCAUUCUCCUCGUCUGGGUGUUAGUGACCUUACCUUUGCUUAUUCUAGGCGGAAUCGCCGGUAAAAACAGCAGGGUAGAGUUUCAGGUUCCUUGUCGCACAACGAAAUACCCCAGAGAGAUCCCACAACUCCCUUGGUGUCGCGGGACGGUUCCACAAAUGGCGAUAGCCGGGUUCCUUCCAUUUUCCGCUAUCUACAUGGAACUUUAUUACGUAUUCACGAGUAUCUGGGGUCAUAGAGUUUACGCGGUAUACAGUAUCCUCUUCCUAACUUUCGUUAUUUUGGUUAUCGUCACGGCCUUCGUUACGGUGACAUUGACUUAUUUUCAACUUGCUGCUGAAGACCAUAAAUGGUGGUGGAGGUAAUCUAAUAAAUCUAAAGUUUUGAGCUCAAAAGGGUUUCUCAUGAAACCUUAUAUUCUCAAAGUGCUAGUAGAGAUGGUUUAUGAGUUUUGUUAAGUAGUAUUAACAUUCCUUAUACACUUAGCAUCCUUAUACAUAUCAUAUGUAUAUACAUACGUACGUAAAUACAUAUAUAUACCUACACAUACAUCUAUCUAUGAGUUCAAAUAUGGAAUCUACACAGAUAUGUACAAAUAUUGAAUUCUGAAGUAAAAUUGUUCUUUCGGUUUCUUUCAUUACGGAAUUCGCGAACAUUAAUGAACAAUCAUUAAUGUUUCUUGUGUUUCUCUAGAAGCCCAAGUAAUGCUUUGUGUAAUCGUCUUUUGUUAGCCGUAUUAUCCUCUAAUAAAUCACGAAUUAACUAUAGUUUCUGGUGCAGGUCUUUCCUCUCUGGUGGAUCGACCGGUUUAUUCAUCUACGGUUACUGCUUCUACUACUACUACGCGAGAUCGUACAUGUCGGGAUUCAUGCAAACAUCCUUCUUUUUCGGGUACAUGGCCUGCGUCUCCUACGGCUUCUUCCUCAUGCUCGGGACCGUCGCCUUCCACUCCGCCUUGUGCUUCGUUCGCUACAUUUACCGUAGCAUCAAAUGCGAAUAAUCAAUCACUUAGUUUUCGAUAUUUGUUAGGAAUUUUUGGCCGUUUUCUCUUUGUACAAAUUUAGAUCUAAAAUAGGUGUUAGUGAUUAGGAGGAGAUGACAUAUAGUUGAUAGUUAUGAAUCAUAAGCAUAAACAUAAUAUACUUUGGUUCCACUUGCAUUUUAGUUCUCAGUUUGGCAUUGGUUAUGGUUUUUUCCCCCUACACCUUCAAUCACCCAGAAUUUGAGGGAAGAUGAAAAAGAUAAAACACAAAAAGCACAAGCUCUUACCAUAAAAAAAGGUGAAUGUGCAAAAUAAGAUGCAAAUCACGAAGCACAGAAACUGAUCUCCAUUAGAUUCAAAGAUAAGUCUACAUAGUAUGCUAAACAGAUUCAAAUUGAUGACAUCAUUUGACAUUUCAAUUGUGUAUUUAUUCCAAAUUCAAAUACCAUGCUAGCUUAGUUACAUCUCAACACAAUCGAUGUCCGAAAGAUCGACUGAUUCGAGAGUACCUUCUUUGGAGAUUAUGUCCCGUACGGUGACCCUCUUCUUUUGCGGUAUCUGACUGAUUUUAAUCCGUUCUUCCUCGGUUAGCUCCCAAUCGAAGAUCUCAAUGUUCUGCUUGAGCCUCUCCUUGUUAAAGCUCUUAACAACCAUGCUAGCGCCUUGCUCGUAAAUCCAUCUUAGCGAAACCUAUAGGAAUAUAAGAGAGAGUAAGAGUUCCCUAACAUCACAAAUAACUAAAAUUACUUCUCUAUAAGCACGAAAGCAAGUAGACCCUGGAAUCUUCUUAUUGAAUGUGAUUUAAAUCAGAGUAUGGCAUACAAGCGUACAACAUUUCCUCAAGAACGAAAAAUAAUCAAAGUGAAAAUUAGCUUGUGUGUAUCAACCGAGAACUUCCCCAUUAGUCUUAGACAGAUACACGUGUGUCUCAAUUGUCAGUAUCAGUUAGUGUUUUUAAAGAUGUUCUUUUUUCCUUAUUUUUCAAGCAAUCUAGAUCGUUUGUAUUGUCUUCUACGAAUCGCAGGUUAUAUGUAGCUUAGCUAAGAGAAUCAGAAAACAAAGUAAUCGUCAUGGUUUUCGUAGUGACACAUUGUUUUGUGAGUCACGCAUUGAGUAUGAGUAUGUAAAAGCAAAAGCAACAUAUUGACAAUGUAGUGAUGUACAAUUACCAUGUCUUUUGCAAUCACCAUUCGCAAUCCCUUAUCUCAGUUUGUAAAAAUUCAUACAAGAACACGUAAAUUUCCAAUGAGGGCAUUAAAGAUCACCUGAGCCACCGUCUUUCCCUUUGCCUUAGCGAUCUCUUUGAGCACUUCGGAUUCCAUCACUGGGUUUGCACCUCCAGCAGUUUGACCUCCCAACGGAGAGUAAGCCGUCACACGUAUACCUUUCUCCGCACAGAAUUGCAACAACUUCUGCUGUUGCCAAACUGGAUUCAACUCCACCUGCAAAAACAAUCCAACAUCGAUCUAUCUCAUUGCGAUCCAACUUAACAAAUUAAGCAUAGCAGCUCAAAUUUAACUCUUCUGAAUGAUUUUUCAGCUGAUUGCACGGUGAACAACCAAUAACGAACCUGUACUUGAAUUCAGGAAAUGUAACUCAAAUCAAAGCAACAACAUGUUAAGGAGGUUCGAACAGACCUGGUUUACCGCUGGCGGUAUUUUAGCUGUUUUGAGAAGCUCUUCGAUCUUCUUCGUCGGGAAGUUGCUAACUCCGAUUGCCUUAGCUAGCCCCAGCCUUUGGCACUCCUCCAUUGCUUCCCAAACACCCUUCAAGUCCAUCGGCAUGAUGUCCUCUCUCUUUAAAGGGAAAAUAGGCGGCCCUGGCUUUGCACUCAUGGGCCAGUGGAUAAGGUACAGAUCAAGGUAAUCCAUUUGUAGGUUGCUGCAUCAUGGAGUGAAAACACAAGUUUAGAUCAAAUAAUUACUCACAUCUGAAUACGUAACUUAUUUUUACAGUAUCAUCAUCAUAUUGGGUCAUGAGCAAAAAAAAGAAAGGUUAUCAAAUUUGGUCAAGCUUGCAACGCUUAGGUUAACAUAAAUAAUAAUGUUGAUUCACAUUUCUAGCUAAGUUUAUUUCUAAACGAAAUAAACGAAGCGGGUAGCGUGCUACCUAUCUCUCAAAAAAAAAAAAAAAAAAACAAACAUAAAUAAUAAUGUUCGGGUGUGCACGAAUACGCACAAAGAGCAGUCUUAUAUUUCCAAUCAUAAUUCAUUUUCCAUCCGAUAUAGGAAUAUUAGGCAAGAGACUCGUUUCACACUUCUGGUUGAUAAACUAGCUUCAGAGUCUGGCUACUAUGCUAUUACUGAGCAUUUGGUACUACCAAGUUUUCCGCAUGUUAGAUCAUACUAUUCAAUUAGCCACCACUCAACCCUAAAAGACCACUAUCAUCCUAGCUGCAUAUCCCUUCAUCCCAGGGCCGAAAACCUAAUAGUAUAGUAGCCUAGUUUCUAGUUUUGAUACCAAAUAUAAUGACCCGGCUCGUCAGCAUUAAUAUCUCUUCAGGUUCAAACAACCGAUCCAAAAUACUUAAGCCUAGUUUUCAUUGGAUGAUAUGAACUGAAAGAAAGAAUCCCCAAACUGCUGAUUUCCAAAAUUAUCUUACUGACAGAUAAGAAAAACCAGCUCGAAAGUUCGAGAUUAAAAUUAAAAAAAAAAAAAAAAAGGAGAAAGAAAAAAAAAAAAAAAGGNGGAAAUAUUGUUCGUCGAGCAUCUCUCUCUCUCUCUCUCUCUCUCUUUCGCGUCGAUACCGGAGCCGCUCGUCCUCGUCCUCGCACUGUGGCCUCCACCUCCACCCCCCUCCUCCCGCCCCCUCCCCCUACCCCCACCACCCCUACCCCUGCCGCCUCAAGGGCAAGCUGCGCCGCUCCCGCCCCCGCCGCCACCGCCGCCGCGACCUCGACCCGAUGGCGGUGAAGCUGUGGCGGCGCGAGAUGCCGAGGCUCGCGCGGGAGCCGGAGCGGUAGCGGCUGCGGCGCGCCCGGCCGCCGCCGCAGUAGCGGAGCGCGGCGCUGCAGAAGCAGUGGAGGUUCGAGACCACGGGGCUGCGGGAGGUUUGGCUGGGACUGUUGCGUACCAGAAUUUUCUAUUUCGGUAGGAAAGAAGCGCUUUGUUAUUUACGGAUAAACUUCGCAUGCACCCAUGUGAUGUUGACAGAUAAACUUCGCAUACACCCAUGUGAUGUUGAGUUUUCUUAUUGUUUUAACGUGUAUCCGUAAAUACGAUGAAUUACAGAUAUAUUACUAAAAAGCUCAAUUUUUAUAAAUUUUCUAUACAAAAAGUCCUAAUAUAUUUAGAUAUUUCCUUACCGUUAGGGUCUGUUAGAGAAAUUUCGUUAACGACAGUUAAAAUAUUUAACUAUAAUUAAUAAGUAAUGUGAAUCGAUAAUUUUGCCCUUCUUUUCCUUCCUCUUCCUCUUCCUCUCCUGCUUCUUCUUUCUCUUCUUCUCCAUAUCCUCCUUUCCUCCUUUUCUCCUUCUUCUUCGUCGUCGUCGGUGUCGAUGAUUCGAUCGUCGUCGCCGUCGUGGUGCCCGCGUGGGCCGUCGUCACGGGCGCCUCCGACGGCAUCGGCCUCGCCUUCACCUUCCGCUUCUUCCUCAUCCUCGUUGGCCGCAACCCCAACAAGCUCCGCAAGGUCGCCGUCCGCUCUCGCAGCUCAAAGAGGAAGAGGAAGAGGAAGAGGACAAAGGCAAAAUUGUCAUUUCACAACUCUACUGUUAAAAAAUUAACAGCUCUCUAACGGAUCCUAACUGGAGGGACAUAUAUGAAUACAUUAGGACUUUUGUAGGGAUAACUUAUAAAAGUUGAGCUUUGCAGGGUUAUAUCUGCAAUUCACCAUAUUUGUAGGAACGUGUAUGCAAUUAACCCUUUUCUUAUUUUAGUAUUUUAUAGUUUAAAGUGUACCACUUUAGUAUCAUGUAAUUUUUUUUAUUUUUAUCUUUUCACAAGCACCUCCGUUAACUCUUCAUUAAAUUAUAUAUAAAAAAUUUUAAAUAUCUCACCUGUAAUUUAUCGAAUAUGCACUGCGGUUUUAAUUUUAUAAAGAGGAUAACGAAAAGAAAAAAAAAAAAAUUACGGACGAUAUUUGAAGUUUUUAUUUAUUUAUUUGAUUCUUUUAUACCGCUAUAAAAAUAAUGUUUAUAGUCGUCCUGUUAUUAAACUCGGCCUCUUAAGGCUAUGUUUGGUUUGGAGUUAAUAUUUUUAGGAAUAAAUUUUUUUUUAUUCUUGAAAUAGUUAAUUAAGUUUGAAAUAUACAAGGCCAAGUUUAAAAUUACGUUUGGUUAAACAUUUUUUUUUUUUUCGAGAGAGAGAUUGGUAGCAUAUUACCCGCUUUGUUUAUUUCAUUUAGAAAUAAACUUAGUUGGAAAUGUAAAUCAACUAGGAUUCGAACUUGGGCCUCGGGUGUCAACCACCAAGCUCUUUGCCACUUGCUCUAGAAAAGGUCAGUGAUUAAACAUUCUUUUAUUUUUAAAAAUAGGUAAAAGUGUGUUUGAUAAUUAUCUUAAGCAUAGCAGAAAAUUAUUAAAAAAAAAAUCAUAUACAAAUAACACAAAAUAAUACAUUUUAAUUAAUUCAUUAUAUAUAUGCUACAAUACAUGCUAUUUUAUUUAUAAUAAUUAUAAUAUUAGCCCUUUGCUACUAUUGCAUGCUAUAUUAUAUGCUAAGACAAAACAAUAACCACUUGUCCAAAAAGAAAAUGUUUGGUAAUGUUCAUAUUAUCAAAUUAGGGUUGUGUGUCUUUUUGGUGGGACUUAUGCUAAACCAAAUAGUGACAACUUAUUCAAAAGGACACGUUAAUGGACAGGAAUAUAUAAUAAAUAAUAUAAAAAUAAUGCCAGUAUUAUGCCACGUGAAAUGGUGAAGGCUUUAUUUAAAUUAUUAUUAUAAUAUUAAAAGAAAUACAUAUUUGCAUCUUUUGUCAGAUGAAAAUAAAAAUUUUCCAUUUUCUAUUGCGGUAGGAAAGAGGCGAGUUUUUUAUUUAUACCCAUGUGCGUUUCCUUAUUUUAAUAUUCUAUAAUAAUUUAAAGUGUAUUAAUUCCGUAAUUUUUUUUUUCUUUUUCAUAAGCAUCUUCCUCGACACUUCCUUAAAUCAUAUAAAAAAAAAAAAUCAAAUACCUCCUGUAGUUUUGCACUUUCUUAUAUUAGUACCUUGUGNAUAAGCAUCUUCCUCAACAGUCAACACUUCGCUAAAUCAUAUAAAAAAAAAAAUUCAAAUACCCCCUGUAGUUUCGUACUUUCUCAUAUUAGUACCCUGUGAUUUAAAGUGUAUCAUGUUAGUACUCUGUGGUUUCAUUUUUGUAUCAACUUAGUAUCCUGUGAUUUCAUUUUUCUCUUUUUAUUAUUUAUUUCGGAAUAUUUUUUUCGUUAAAUUAGUGACAAAGUUAAAACUAAAUGAUACUAAAAUGAAUAUUCGAUAAAUCUAGAUGGGGUAUCUGAAGUUUUUUUUAUAUAUAAUUUAACGAAAUAUUUAAAUCACAGGGUACUAAAGUGAAAAAAUACGAAACCACAGGAUAUUAAUUAACUUGAUACACUUUAAACCACAGGAUACUAAAGUGAGAAAGUGCAAAACCACAAAGUACUAAUUUGAUACACUUUAAAACAUAUGGUACUAAAAUGAAAGUGUGAAACCACAGGGAAAGUAUUUGAAGUUUUUUCUAUAAAAAAUUUCAAAUAUCUCAUUUAUAGUUUGUCAAAUAUUCAUUUUAGUAUCCUGUGAUUUUAAUUUUAUAUGGAUGGAAUAACGGAAAGAAAAAAAAAAAAUCACAAGGGUAAUAUUUAAAGUUUUUAUUUAUUUAUUUAUUUAUUUGAUUCUUUUAUAUCACUAUAAAAAUAAUGUUUCUAGCCGUCAAAUUAUUAAACUCGGCCUCUUAGGGCUAUGUUUGGUUCGGAGUAAAUAUGUUUAGGAAUAAAUUUUUUUUAUUUUUGAAAUAGCUAAUUAUUUUGAAAUAUACAAGGCCAAGUUUAAAAUUAUGUUUGGUUAAACAUUCUUUUAUUCUUAAAAAUAGCUAAAAGUGUGUUUGAUAGUUAUCUCAAGCAUAGCAGAAAAUUAUAAAAAAAUUAGAGUACGUCUUCCGUACUUUUGAAAGUAUAGAGAUCUCCGUAUUUGUAAGUUGUUUUCGAUGAUAGGACGUUCGAUUCGACGAUCGGCCCCGUUAAGUAUAAUCUACUCUAUUAGAACUAUCUAGAAACCAAAUGUUAUAAUUUUUUGAUAUCAUUUACCAAGCGAUCAAAAGGUUUCAAAAAUGACUAUUUUAAUGGUCAAUGUGGCACGUUGUUUAGUUCAACGGUGUAGAAAUAUCCAAAUUACAUAAAAAAUUUUAAAAAAAAUCUACUAAACAUCAAUAGCAAGAUCAAUACUUCCGAUUUGAAAUUUGAGUCAUUUACCAUUAUUUUUUAUGAGAUUUUUAUUUUCAGCCGUUCAUUUUGAGGCCACUUGUUCACUAGACAAACAAAGUCAAAAAAUUAUGAAAUUUGGUUUUUAGAUAGUUUCAAUAGCGUAGAUUAUGUUUAACGAAACCGAUCGCCGAAUCGGAUGCCCCAUCAUCGAAAAUAACUUACAAAUACGGAGGCCUCCGUAUUUUCGAAAACACAGAAGCCUAGCUCAAAAAAUUAUAUACAAAUAACACAAAAUAAUACAUUUUAAUUAAUACAUUAUAUGCUACAAUACAUGCUAUUUUAUUUAUAAUUAUAAUAUUAAUCCGUUGCUACUAUAGCAUGCUAAUAUGCUAAGACCAAACAAUAACCACUUGUGCAAAAAGAAAAUGUUUGGUAAUGUUCAUAUUAUCAAAUUAGGCUCGAGUGUCUUUUUCGUGGGACUUAUGCUAAACCAAACAGUGACAACUUAUUCAAAAGGAUACGUUAAUGGGCGGGAAUAUAUAAUAAUAAAUAAUAUAAAAAUUAAUGCCAAUAUUAUGCCACGUGAAAUGGUCAAGGCUUUAUUUAAAUUAAUAUUGAAAAGUAAACGUUUGCAUCUUUUGUAAAAUAAAAAAGAAAAAUUUCCAUUAAAUAUCAUUAGAGUUUGGGAAAUGUGAAUAUAAAAUCAAUCUAAUCCUUACACAUUGCGUAUGCCAUUACAUCAUCAUACACAAACACAGUAGAUUCAAACUCCUAAGUCCUAACCAUUGAAUUUUACACAGCAGUUGAAUUUUUAACUGACUGUUCCAAGCGCAAGUGACAAAAGACUCGAUGAUUGAUACACCCAAAAUUUCAAGUUCAAAUAUUAGUUGAUUUAUAUUUUCGGGUAAAUUUAUGUUUUAAAAGAAUAAACGAAGCGGAAAAUUUACAUGGCUAUUUAGAAUGAACCAAGCCAAUAACUUUUUACCUAUCUAUACUAUCUAUACUAAGGUGGUUUUGGUCAUAAUAUAAAUCGAGUGAUUUAUAAAUGCAUUGUUUUUGGAUUUUUAUUCUUAAAUAAGAGAUAAAGAAGACCUAGAAUGUACACCACAAAGGAACUUUCCAGAAAAGCCAAAUUUAAUGCUGUCCAACAUGUCUAAAUCAAAAAAAAUUUUAACAUAUCAGAAAAAUACAUCAAACACUCAAAGAAAGAGAUAACUUGUCUAUGACCCAUGGCAUUCUCAAUACCAAUGAUAUAAUGAAUCUCAAACAAGAUAAUAAGAGCUAGUCAACACGUUGAAUGCUCAAAUUUUCCAUACACAACAAAAGUAGGUGAAAGAAAACGACAGAACGGGAUGCGCGUUCCGAUGAAAACCGACCUCAAAGCUUUCAUCUCAAAAGUAGUCAGCGAACACAACAAAAAAAAGUCACAAACACUUGAAUUUGAGUUGUGCGGCGCGAAUUGAAGAUCUCAGAUGCAGUUGCGCCACCAGUUCAACUAAGUUUCAGUACCCCACUACUGCAGAAGGGAUAACAAAUCUAAGCGCCGUACGCCGAAAACAAUCCUAAUUGUAUGUAGUAAAGUUGAGUUCUACUUUGGAUUCAAAUUUCAAAGAGAAAAUAACAUAGCAUGGCACAGAAAUACGUUCAUCAUAUAGAACAAAGUAAAGAAUCCUAUGUCUGAAGAAUGAUAGAUGAUGGGGACGAUAGAAACGUGCCGAAUUUGAGAUGGUUUUAUUCUUGUUUAAGAUUGUAGCAGAGUUAAACUAGGCUAUAAUAGUUAACAGCAAAAUCACGAGUAAUUAUCUAACUAUUACACAUCAAGAUUACAGAGGUAAGAAGCGAAGCACAGGCCUAAAAGAGAAUGUAAUGUUAGUUAGAGGAUGCCACAAACACUCCAGUUGUGUACUUGCACAGAAGAAGCGCUUUCUUCGACUUAUCGUUAGACCGAUGAUUUGCGAUAAAUACCCAUUAGAUGAUGGUAACUGACAACGGGAAUAACUUCGCAUCAAGAUCAUCCCAAAAUUGUCACUUAUUCUCUUCAGAAAAGAUAUGAAAAGUUACGCAGGAUCAGAAGAACAAGGAAGCAGCUAUAGGGUACAGCGGUCACAUUGUAAGAAUCGGAUAUGACGACAUAGGAACAACUAUCAUAGUAUGAACUAAAAAAUUUAUUCGGCAUUAAGAAACUUUCUUGUAAGAAAUUGACUAGGGAUAGUUGUUCGCUAAGUACGUUAAAGGGAACAACAAAAUGCAGGUUGGUCAUAGUAGAUAUGAACCUUAAAAAAUUAACCGAUAUAGAUUAAUUAACAAGAGUGUAUAGUUUUUAUACGUAAGAAAAAAAGCUACCUUCAUGAGCGGGAAGAGAUACCCAAAUAUGGUACUUUACAUGACCGUCAAGAAAAGCAACAUACGGAACAAAAAAGAGUCCACGGAAGUUUUGGAUACAAAUAACGAAAAUAAUCUAGAGAUACGUUGCUGCGUAUUUUCGAUAGUUGACAUUCUUGUAUUACCAGUACAAUCUUCAAGAGAGACGAAUGCGAGAAAUUACAUUCAAGAAUAAUCAAAUUGAAAUUUUUUUCACUAAGACAUUAGAUAAAAUAACAUGAAAAGAUUGUAAUCCAUCAUACAAGAAGUGCUGGGGUGGUUCCGUUUGACAUAUGCUAAGAAGGAAGCAAACGGAAAAAAAAAAAAAAAAAAAAAAAAUCCUCCAAAAAUAGAAAGAAUCACACGUAAGAUUGUAAAGUAUUAAUAACACAAAGCUUAACAAUGGAAUGGAGUUAUUAAGUGUUCUACAACUUGAUUGUAGAACUUGAAAAAAGAAAUGGUCUAUAAAAUUUGAGAACAAAAUUGUAAUGAAGGGAAAAAAGAACAAGAAAAGGAGCCGGUAAGCAAAUGACAUGAGAUAAUCAAAUGUGUCAAAAGAGUAGCAAAAUGCCAAAAUCCAUCGUCAAAGAAUCAAAGGAGGAGCCAAUUAUCAUCAGAAUAGGGUGAAUGAUGGAACUUUGAGGUUCAAAUGGUAAUAAUUGAGGGGGGAGAAAUAUUCUGAACAUAGGAUAAAUGAAUGUAGGAAAUGGCUAGCAAAAGUAAAGGAAACGGAUUGUCAUCAAAGAAAAUUGAAGAUGGAAUGUUAAAAGGUGAAUAAAAGGGGAAGGGAUUAUCUGAAAGUAUGAAACAUUGACAAAAAUUUUAAGAAAAAAGUGAAUAAAAAAAAAUAUAGUCAGUUAAAAAAGUUAAAGAAACAAAAUAAAGGCUAAACAUGAAGAUCACAGUAACCUUUACUACAAACUAUAAGAGAAAAUAUAUAAAUAUGCUUGCUAUGGCAAUACAGAGGAAGUGUAACUAGGAUUGAAAACUAUCAAAGAUAAAGUGAGAAUAAUGUUCGAUAUAUAUCCACCAAUAGUACUUUUAUCUCCAAUAUACGACUAAUACCACUACGUGGAACGUAUAUGCCAGGAGAAAGAUGUCACUGUGAACAACAUUUGAUAAUGGGAUUUGGCAGCAACACAAAAUAUUGUUAGAGCAUUUAACAAGUUAAUGCGUUGUCAAAUAUGCAUCUUCAGCGACAAAAAUGGUCUUAACAAAUAAAUUCUCAUCUAGUAGAUAUCAGCAUUGACAUUCGCAUAAAUAUUCAUAACAACGUAACGUUCUGCUUCAAAAACUUCCCAAAAAAGAAGCACUCAAGACUUCAUCGGAUACGACCAGUACAAGAAAAGGGAAGAGAACAUUUGGAAACACUCACAUUUAAAGUUGGACGUCGACGGUUGUAUCAAUAGCAUUACUACCAUAUUCAGAAGAGAUUAGAUUCUACAAUCCCACUUAUAUCAUACUACAAUAAGUAAAAUAGGAGACAUUAUAAAAAUUCAUUUUUGCGAUAAGCAAAAGACAAUCUAGAUUGGAUAGGUUUAAUAGUUACAACUACAAGUUGCAAAAAAGGAAAGAAGAAAUAACAUGCAUUCAGCUGCUAAACUAGAAUCUAACCUCGACAUCGAGCUACAUUCUACCCAGAGAUCUUCUGCAUAAAGUUAAGCUUACAGACAUUAUACAACUUUUACCUGAUCGUCACAAACUUGUUGGUUCCAUGCUUAGCCCAGUAAGCCCUCAAGUCGAUCGGGUUAUUAAGGUUAUAGCCCUCCCCCGCGAGCUUCUCCAGCACCUUCCUAAACGCGCCCUGGCUCAUCUUUCUCCCCGCAAUCCUCGACCCCCUCCUCUUUGUACUCAUCGGGAGCGGGUACACGGAAAUGCUAGUAGUACAGCAGGCCGACUGCCACCCUCCGACCCCCCAUCUAUAGCAUUGCUGCGGAGCGCCCGUGCAUGAGCACACAGGAGUGGGCAGCCCCGACAAGUCUAAGUCAAUUCCGUUUAUAACGAUAUCCGCGCUUUUCCUCCCAUUUCUCACUCUCGGGUUCGAGUUAACCUUGCGUUCCUCUUUCGGAACGGGAGCCUUUUUCGGCUUCCUGGGCUUAGAAGCGCUUUCCGGCCGAGCCCGAGACCGCUUCUUCGGAGGCUUAUCGUUUGUCGCUUGCGGCUCAUUCAUCGGUGCGACAUUGUCGUCUUUGGGCGGGCUCGGCGCCUGCAUGAUUUGGAAGGAAUGAGCCCCGUUCGCACUAGGCAGGAGAUCAUAACUAGGGUUAGUAGGCAUCAUCUGGGGCAUCUUGGCCUCCCUGUAGUUUGGCCAACUAUUCUUCAAGAACUCAAUCGGCGCAAACGUCUCAGGGGCACUGUAAUCUCUUUGGAGAAAGCCUCCAUUGGAGAAAAGCUGCUUCUUUUCGUGCUCGGCCACAGAGGACAUGAGCUGAAGCCCUGGAUUAACCUUUAUGGGCUGAUCAUAGUAGCCCCAAUUUCGCAUCCCGAGUCCCCCAUUAGCAUCCAUGAGGGCAAACUUAGGGUAAACUACCAAAAAUUACGGCAAUGUGAGCCCCAAAACACAAUCUUUAAGCAAAUCUGAUCAACCCAUUUACUGCAUUUGCCUCCUCCGUUUCCCAAACCUAGAAAACCCAUCAAAACCAAAAGAUCCAUCACUCAGAUUGAAGAAAAAGAAGAGAAGUGACAAAACUAUGACAUUUUUACACAAACCCUAGCUCCAAAAUUUCACAAACAUGAGAAAUGGGUUUGAAACACAACCAAAAAUUGCAUCUUUCUUGGAAAAAUCGAAAUAUCGCAUGCUUCUAAGGGUGAAUCUUAGAUCUUUCCAUAAAUAAACAAAAUGAGUUUGCAUAAGAUUUCAGGAAAAGAUGGGGAAGGUGACAUUUUUUACAUAAAGGUCCUCCUUUUACCACCAAAACAAGAAGGAAAAGUGCAUUAAACAAAGAAAAAGAGAGGGGAAUGGGUAAUAAAAGGGAGUUUAACUUACUUUGGAGAGAGAUAGAGAGGUGUUUUUAGGGUUCUUUGAGGAGGUGUGAGGGAGAGAAAGAGGAAGGGGGAGGAAGAGAGGAAAAGAAUGGUGUCUUUUUAUGUAUAAAUGGAAAUGGGGAGGAUUAUGUUUUUGCUGAGGUGUUUAAACAUAGUAUGUUUUUCUAGGUAUGAUUUUUAAUUUUAUAAUAUUUUUUGGUAGAUUUUAUUACAUGCUGAGCAAUAUAGUAAGUGGGAAAUUACAAAUAGAGAGACAUUUUCUUUUUUGACCUUAUUUCUUAUUUAUUGCAUUUUUACUUUUAGAAUUUUCACACUAGUAGUUUUUAGUUUUAUCUAACCUUUUAUUUUUUAUAAUUAGAUUUUUUAUUUUUAUUUGUUGUUUCGUAAAGUUUUAUUAAGUUAAGAAGCGUGUUGAUUUACACGAAAAUUGAUUUGGUCUAAAUAAAAUACAAAAUCAUGUGACUACAAAAAAAAUUCCACAGCAUCAUUUCUACGCUAUUUGGAUACAUAUAUUGUACAAUUCCAUAGAAUUUAUAACAAUUAGAGUUCUAAAAUUUAAAAUUCAAAAUUCAAAAUUUUAAACAAAAUUUUAAAAAAUUAAAACUCAAAAUUCAAAAUUAAAAUUUAAAAAAUAUAAAUUUUAAAUUUUAAAAUUUAAAAAUAGAAACAUAAUUUUAUGUUUUAAAUUUGAAAUUUAAAAUUUAAAAUUUGAAAUUAUAAAUUCAAAAUAAAAAAUCUGAAAUUAAAAAUUAAAAAUUAAAAUUAAAAUUAAAAUUUUAAAAUUAGAGGUUCUAAUUUUAAUUUUAAAUUUUAAAUUUUUAAAGUUAAAAUUCAAAUUUUGAAAUUUAAAAACUAAAAUUUGAAAUUAGAAAUUAGAAAUUUAAAAUUAAAAUUUAAAAUUUAAAAUUUAAAUAUUUGAAUUUUGAAUUUGAAAUAUAAAAUUAAAAAUUAGAAAUUAAAAUUUAAAAUUUAAAUAUUUAUUCAAAAUAAAAAAUUUGAAAUUUAAAAUUUGAAUUUGAAAUUUAAAAUUUAACAUUUUAAAUUUCAAAAUAAAAUAUAAAAAUUAAAAUUUUAAAUUAAAAUUAAAACUAAAAUUUUAAAAUUAGAGGUUCUAAUUUUAAUUUUAAAUUUCAAAUUUUAAAAGUUAAAACUUCAAAUUUUGAAAUUUAAAAACUAAAAUUUGAAAUUAGAAAUUAGAAAUUUAAAAUUAAAAUUUAAAAUUUAAAUAUUUAUUCAAAAUAAAAAAUUUGAAAUUUAAAAUUUGAAUUUGAAAUUUAAAAUUUAACAUUUUAAAUUUCAAAAUAAAAUAUAAAAAUUAAAAUUUUAAAUUAAAAUUAAAACUAAAAUUUUAAAAUUAGAGGUUCUAAUUUUAAUUUUAAAUUUCAAAUUUUAAAAGUUAAAACUUCAAAUUUUGAAAUUUAAAAACUAAAAUUUGAAAUUAGAAAUGUGAAAUUUAAAAUUUAAAAUCUAGAUUGAAAUUUAAAAUUUUAUAUUGAAAUUUAAAAUUAAGAACUUGAUACAUCUUUGGGGUAAGGGCAUCUAAAAAUGGUAAAAUUUUUUUAUUUUGGUUAGUAUGGAUUGUAAUAUUCCAUUUUUUGGUGUAUAAUAUAUUCAUGCUCCAAAAAUUAAGCCAUUUUAUUUUCUUUCAAACACUUCACAGGAUAAUUUUUUUUAACAGUAUAGCAUAGUUCAACUAUGCUAUAUUUUUAGGAUUAUUCAAAUGGGGUAUGUAGCGAAAGAAAAAAAAUAUUAAAAUAUUAACUAACAAAUAAAAUCUAAUUGUAACAAGAUAAUAUUUGUCAAUUAAAAUAAAUUUUAAGUUAAAGAUUAGUAACUAAUAAUAUAAUUAGGGCAUACUUUGGAUUUAGCAGUCAAAAAGAUUUAAAAUUUUACUAUAAAAAAAUAAAAAUAUUCUUUCUCAGCAUGCAUCGCACAGCUACUACCACUGAUACUGUCGAUAUUUUCUUUUUUUUUUUGAGAGAGAGAUAGAUAGCACGCUACCCGCUUUGUUUAUUUCAUUUAGAAAUAAAUUUAGCUGGAAAUAUGAAUCAAUUAGGAUUCGAAUUUGGGUCUCAGAUACCAACCACCAAGCUAGAAAUACUGUCGAUAUUUUCACAGUCAUGAAUUAUACCGUACUACCACGAUUGGAUAUUGACAUGAAACGCACUAAAACUGAAAUAACGAUUAAAUGACAAAUCUAGGAUCUUUGACUAGUUAAAGAAUAUUUUUUAUAAACUUUAUAAAAUUCACAGAGAUAUAUACAUUUUUUAAAAAACAUAAUUAUUUUUAUUUUUUGAGAGAUAGAUAGCACGCUAUCCGUUUCGUUUAUUUCAUUUUUAGAAAUAAACUUAGUUAAAAAUGUGAAUAUACUAGAAUUCGAAUUUGGGUCUCGGAUACCAACCACCAAACUCUUUGCCACUUAGGGACAGUCGGUAACAUAAUAUAGUUUUUUUUUUUUGAGAAAUAGAUAACACGCUAUCCGCUUCGUUUAUUUCAUUUAGAAAUAAACUUAACUAAAAAUAUGAAUCAACUAGGAUUCGAAUUUGGGUCUCGAGUACCAACCACCAAGGAGAGCCCUUUAAUCUCACUUUUGGGGCUUUACAGAGGGUCCCACUUUCCUGCCAAUUUUGUUUGAACUGCACAAUUCACCGACAACCAAAACAGACGAAGAGAAAUGUUACCUGUACACACUUCUUAGCUUUGAAUCCGAGAAUGUAGCGUUAUUUGAUGAAGUUUGUGCGGUUGUAGUUAAAAGUAUUAAUUAUAUAUUUUUAAAAAUUAAAAAAAUUUUAAGUUUUUUUUUUGUUUUUAGUUUUCUAUAUAAGAUUAUAGUAAAAUUUAGUUUGGUAUACUAUCGGUAAUACGGAUCGGUUCUGUUAGACUUGAUCUAUACUAGUAAAAAUAUUUGGAAACUAAAUUUCAUAAUUUUUCAAUAUCAUUUGGCUAGUGAUCAAAAGGUCUCAAAAUUAACAAUUUUAACGGUCGAUGUAACACGUUUAUGAAUUCAACGGUGUAAAACAAUUCAAAUCUGAUGAAAUUUUUAUGAAUUUUUUUUUUUUUAUUAUUUAGAGUAAGAUCACUAACUUUGAUCUUAAAUUCAAAUAUUUUAUUAUCAUUUUUUAUGAGAUUUUUAUUUUCAUCCGUUCAUUUUUAGACUACUCAUUUGAUAAGUAAAUGAUGUCGAAAAAUUAUAAAAUUUAAUUUUCAAAUACUUUCAAUAGUGUAGAUCAAGUUUAACGGAGCCGAUCGUCGAUUUGAAAACUAUAUCAUUGAAGACAAUAUCAUUGAAAAUAAUUUGGUGGCAUGGAGAUCUCCGUGCUACCGAUAGUAUAUCAGCCUAAUUUAUUGUAUUAAUUGUUAUUAUAAUUUUAUAGUAUUGGAGGAGAAAAAUAUUUGACGAGCUUUUGAAUUUUAUAGACAUUAUAAAGUGUAAAGUGGUGCUUUUAUCCACCACAUUAGCAAUCUAGACCUAAAUAUUAUUUUAAUAAGUACAAUUAGGAAAGAGUACCAUGCUGAAAUAUUUCAAAUAGUUUUAUUCUAUAGCAUGAUUGGGAAUAUCAAAUUAAAUUUUUAAUUCUAAUUCCUACUGCUAAUUUAGAUUUUCAUUUAUAUUUUCAAACUCUCUACAAAAGACCGUUGUUAUUAAAAACAAAAGUAAAAAUAUAUCCACACUGAUUAGAAAAAUUCUUCACAUAUAUCACUACAACAGAAUUAGGUUAUAGAAACACAUGUUUGGAACACUUUUAUGUAAGUGUUUCAUUUAUGUCAAAACUUUAAAAAAAAUCUACUAAUGCCUAAAUAUAAAGUCCAAUCCAAUCAAAAAUAAAAGGUUACUCUACUCAACCCAUCCCACCCAACCCAUUCAGCCCGAUUAUAAACAAAAAAGAAAAAAAAAAAAUCGAUUACCAUAUCUCCGUCUCCCCUCACUCAAUUCACUGAAAUCCUAGACGAAGAGCCCUUCCCUCUCGUCUUCCUCCGCCACCGCAACCAACGAGAUAGAGUUCCAGUGGUUGCUAAAUGCUUAAAUAAGCGUUGGUAAAUUAGCAGUACUUUUUUAGAUUAUAGUGACACUCUUUAACUGUCACUAUAUACCUAGCGACCCCACAUAUAGCAACACUUUUUAAAAGUGUCGGUAAUUUAGCCAGCAGCACUUUUUUUGACCAGUACCGAUAUUUAAAAGUGUCGCUAUAGACCGUUUUUGUUGUAGUGUAUUUUUUGGCAUAAAAAAUUUUAAAUGUUUCAUUUUUUUAUUUUCCCUCCAGUUGUUUCAUUUUUUAAAUGUUUGAAAUUCCUGUUUUCUAUUUCUUAAACGCAAAAACGCCCUCUUUGUAACAAUUGUAUCAUAUAAGAUAUACUCUGUGGACUUAUUUUGAUGUCAAAAUAAUUUAUCCAGUAAUAUACUAUUCAAUAUGAAAAGUUUUUUUUUUCUCAUCAAAGCUAUGAGUGUACUUAAACGUAUAAAAUGGAACAGAAUAUUCAGCUUUCGGAUUGCUCUUUAGAAUAAGAUAAAUCAUCGCAAGUAAAAUAUACUAUUCUAUCAACUUGUAGAUAGUAAGGUACUUUCGAGGACAAAACUCAAUAUCUUUUGCCAUAAAAUUAUGUCAAUUUUUUUUUUUUGUAUACCGAAUAAGUUAUUAUCAGGUAACUUAUUUUGAUAUCCAACAAGUUAUAAGACAUUUUUUAGUUAUCACAAUAAAUUGAUUAUGCAAGUAACACUUACCUAGCGCCGGAAUUUUUUUAUAUGAUUGUAAACAAAGAGUUUAAUUUUUAUUCCUUAAAAGAUAUUGGCAUAUAUGAUUUAGUAUAUAUGAUAGUAUAUUUCACGUAUGAGAUAAUUUAUUUUAUUAUAAAAAAAUAAUUUGAAGGCCGAAUAUCCUAGCUACUAAAUGAGUAUUAAUAGCUUUUAGAGUAAAUCAAUAGGAUAUGUAGAAUGAGAUAUUUAUACAUCCAAAUAGAGCUUAAAGUUUUAUUUAAAUACAUAAGUAUUUUGUUAAACUUUUUUUUUCGUCUAUUUAAAUGGCUUGUAUUUGGUAGAUGAGUUGCAUGGUCAAGUAUAUACAAGGCACUAUCAUAUUCAAUUUGUAAAUUAUUUUUUUAGAAUAAGAUAAAAUAAAUCAUCUCAUAGAAAAAUAUGAUAUUUAUCUAAUUAUUGGGCUCAAAAGCCUUCCAAACUACUAAAAUCAAGCUUCUUACUUGUAAUUAGGAAAAAAAAAUCAAAAAAUAACUUCACCACAUAGAAGUAAUCAUGAAUAACUUAUUCGAAUAUCAAAAUAUUAUCGAAGUUAUCCAAUAAUAGCUUACUCGCUAUCAAAAUUUUGUAUCAUGUUUGAAAGUUGGGAGUUUGAUUUUUGAGUUUUGAGAAGUCUCAACAUCUUCUUAAACUGUUAUCCGACCACUUUUCUGCACUAUUCAUGAUGUCUAAAACUGAUGACGACGUUGAUAAUCAUUACUUGUGGGCACAUGAGUUGACUUGGUGAAUUGGAGCUGAUUCGGGCAGGUUAUAUAUUUUUAUAUUUUUGGUUUUCACUUGCCGCCCAGUUCAGCAUAUAUCGACUUGGCGGAGCUCCAUUCGACCCAAAUUCAUUUGCAUCCGUAAUUGCAAAUAUGAUGCAAAUUUAGUGGGUUCUUGAGCAUACAUAUAUGCUUUAUCUUCCAAAGGUUAAUGCGCUUUCACUCUUGAUAAUGUAGCUAAAUUCAUAUUCAUCAACUCAGUUACUGAGGCAGAGACUAUUGUGUGAUAUUUAGACUUUGUUUGGUAUUGAGGUCUAUCUAACGCUAUUAGAUAAAAUGGAGUUGAGGAAAAAGCAUAUAAGAAUAUGCUUCUGUGUUUUCCGGUGGGACCGUAGAAAAUAUAUCGUAACCAACCCAUCGCGAUAUGCGGUACGCAAUAUUACGUACAGAAACAAACAUGGUAUUUUUCCAACGUACUUUCUCACCGCACGUAACGCAAUCUUCCCGCAAUCCCAAACGAAACCUUAAAAGUGUUUCACUUCACGUUUGUCACGUGUUUUUAUACAGUGAUGCUUUCUUUGCUGUAAAUAGUAUUUUUUAUGGGGAGCAACUCUCCAAAGUUAAUGUAAAAAUCGAAAAUUAAAUACCGAAGCUCAGAUAAAAAUCAAUGUAAUUUUGAGACCGUUUGAUUUUUUUUUUAGAAAUAAACUUAGGUGAAAAUAUAAAAUAAAUAUGUGUUAAAUUUGAAAACUCAGAUAUACUAAUCAUCAAAUUCUUACUCAACUACGUUAGAUACGAUUGCUAAAAAAUUAAAUUUUUUGCAUCCAUAAUUUAAUAGAUAUAACAUAUUUUACAUACAAAAUAAUUUUGAGUACUAAAUAUAGUAUACUAUACUAGAAAUUUACGUUAUACUACUCUUCUAUCAAAUAAUUUUGAAGUUCUUGAGUAAAUCAAACACUAAUUCACCCAACAAGGAUAUAUUUUUUUUCUUUCUAUUUAAAGCCUGAGGAAGUUUAUAUGAUAAGAAAUUACAAAUUGAAUAUGACAUAUGAGUAAGGAAUUUAAUUACUUUUUUUGAAUAAAUAGGAAGCAAAGGAUUAUUGGAAUAAGCCUUGUUAAAUAUAAGAAAUAUAUAAACAUCAUUCUCUACGAGGUUAAAUUUUUAGAGUACACGAUAUUUCACAUGAUGUCAGAUUCUGAGUUCGAGUCACACCAGGCUUCUAGUAUUAUUAAUUUUCUUUUAUUUAAUGCAAGUCUACGUUAUAGACCUUAUAAAAACUCAAGUCCGGAGGUGAAGAGGAUGAGAACAAGUAGAAAUAGUAAGAACUAAAAAGAGACCAGAUAAAAAAAGGGGUUAAUUUCAUUCAAGUUUCUGCAAACAUAGUGAAUGAUAAAUAUAUCCCUAUAAAAUUCAACUUUCAUAUGUUGUUCUUGCAAACGUUCUAAUAUUUUCAAAUAUGUUCCUCUGAUUUGUUACUGUUAGAGAACCGUUAGACAACUGUUUAUAUUUUUAAUUUUGUCAUCACAAAUAUGUCCCUUCAAAAACCACAACAGUAUAAUAUAAGAGGGGUAAAAAUAUCAAAAACUAACCAGAAUUAACUAUUUAAUAUAUGAUUAACUAAAUUUUUUUAAUAGAUUCUAACGACAGGCAUCAAGACUUUUGCAGAGACAAGAUAUAAUAUGUUGAACUUUGUAAAAAUAUAUUUGCCAUUUACUAUUUUUGUAGAGAUCUGUAUGAAAUUAAUCCUAAAAAAUACAUACAUUUGCAUAAUUACAACUGUGUUAUAAUUUUAACCAUUUAAUUCUGUGCACUUUGAACGGUGGAAACUGCAUAAAUAGACCUGACUGUAACAGUUAGAAUUAUGCUGAAGUCAACAGCAGUUCCAAAUACAAUAAUUGGAUAGAAUAAUUUUAAGCACGAGAUAAAAUAAUAGAAUUACCUAUUUAAUAUAGACAAUAUCUUUUCUUUAUAUUUUAAGGUACCAAAAUUUGAAACUACGCAAUUAAAUAAUUUUUUUUUCUAAUUGCAGAGCUUAAUUUCAACUAUAUAUGCAGUCAAAUAAGAUAUAUAUAUAUAUAUAUAUAUAUAAUUGAUGUAUUUUUAAUUAUAUUCAUAUCCAAGUGCAAUGCAUUGAUAAUUAUAUCGAGCCAAACAGUCCCUAAAGUAAAAUAAUUAUAAGAUGAAUAACUAAUACCAAAUUUUCUUCUAAAAAAUGAAAAUUCCAAAUUUUUUUUUUCAAAAUUGAUUUUAAAAAACACGAAACUAAUUGGUGUCUCCUUUUUGAUCUCCCAACCAAAAAAAAAAAAUACUUAAAAAGCUAUAAUUACAGCAACUUGGUGCAUCAUGAGUGCCACAUCAGCAAACUUAGGAAUCCAAAUUAACACAACAUAUAAAUAUAUAAUUUAUCAAAUUAAGAAUUUUUGAUAUUUCCAAAUUAAAAAUGAAUGGACACGCUCAAACGAAAACCAUUUUUGAGAUCGACUAUUAAACUCUAUAAUUUUUUAUUAAACAUUUUGAACUUUAUUUAUUUUAAUGUAGUUAUUUUGUCAGUUUAAUUUAAAGUUUUAUUACGUUUGCGAUUUUAUCAAAUUCAAACUCUGUUUGAGCAAACAUAAAAUGAAUUCCAAUUGAAAAUAAAUAAAAAGGUUAAAAUAAGGAGUAUUUUGUUUUAUUAAGGCCCGCUCAAUUUCUAAUUUUCUAAAAUUAAAUAAACUUUAUCAAAAAAUUAAAUUUUAUUAAAUUUAUUAAUAAUUUAAAAAAAUUUAAAAAUUUUAGUUGCUUUUAGCGAAUAAAACUAGACCACCUGACAAUUAAUAAAUAAAAAAAUUAUUAAUUAUGGUAAAAUUUUUAAAAUAACUCAAUAUGAAAACUCAAAUGAAAAAAUUAUAAAAGUUUUUGAUCUGAAAAAAUUAAAAAGUCACUAAAUAACUAAACUAGAUAUUUAAAUUAAAAUUUUUGUAAAUUUAGUAUUAAUUUUGUUAGCUCCAUUCAUUUUGGAUAAGAGUAGCAAAGAAAUAUUGAUUUUUGGAUUAGUAUGAAAAUUACACUAAUCUAUAGGUAUACAAGUAGCUAGCAUUGCUCUUAUCCAAAAUGAAUGGAGCUAACAAAAUUAAUACUAAAUUUACAAAAAUUUUAAUUUAAAUAUCUGAACAAAAGUUCUUAAAUAGAAAUCAUUCAAGAAAUUAAAAUGAAAAAGUUGAAAAAGUAUUUCAAACUAGUGUACAACGGAGGGUGUAUAUAUNUAAUAGUUGAGAUAAAUUUUGUAUAUUUUUAUCAAAAGUUUUGUUGGAAAAGUAAUCCAAACUUAUCAAAAGUUUUGUUUAUCAAUAGUAGGAUUUGUAAUUAUUUCAAAUAAUAGUUAAAAUUAAUUAGAUGAAUAAACUAUAGUAAAAAUAACUGCAUAAGACCGAGGGUAUGUGUCGCUCAGUGCUUUUUAUUAAUAAAAUAUUAGUUUAGCUUUUUUUUUAAUAUUUUCAUUUUCAUAUUAUUUUAUUUUAGAAUUUUAGAUCCUAAGUUAUAUAAUCAGUAUCGACACAAAUACCGAUUUCAAUAAUUGAUAUCAGAAAAAAUAAAAUUGGAACAAGUUUACUCAAAAAUAAUUAAAAAGAAAAGAAAAGAAAAUUAAAACCAGCUAAGAAUUUUCCACUGCAUCUCAUGACCUCGAAUAUAUACAAGCACACUAAACUCUCAAUCAGUUUAAUUACAGGAACAAUUUUAUUAUCAUUAUUAAUUAAAAUCAGCAAAAUAAAAAGAAAAAAAGAAAAAGAAAAAGAAAAAGAAAAACUACAUUUGAACCACUUGUGAAUUAUUAUUAUUAUUAUUUUUUGAAAAUUUGAAUUUAUCGACUGCGCAAGAAGAGAGCGGAGCACACCUCGUGGAACGCCUCGAGGAUGUCUCUGCGGAGCUCCCGCGCGUUCAUGGCGAUGUAGCAGUUCAAGAGGCUGCGGAGCUCGCGCGGCUCCCCCAUCAUCCCCUUCGCCGUGAUCACCUCCCACAUCGACCUCCUGAAGUCCCCGCGCGGGUCGUACGAGGCCUUGUCCAUGGCGAUCAACACCACGCACCGCCGCCCCCCGCCUCGCUCGGGCGCGGCGGCCUCGUCGAUGAGCCGCUCCAGCCGCGCCUGGACCACGCCGUGCGCGAGGCUCGCGAGGGCGCGGUCCGAGUCCGAGGAGGACGAGGAGGACGAGGACGAGGAGACGCUGGGGCGCGAGCCGCAGCACAGGGCGCGGCACCGCCGCGUCGACGGGUUCGUCGUCGUCGUCGUCGUCGUGGUUGGGUUCGGUAGGGUUUUCGUGCUCUUCUUCUUCUUCUUCCUCUUCCUCCUCAGCGUGAAAAUUUCCAUCUCACUGUGUUUCCCUCUCUCUCUUUCUCUCUCUUUUUCUUUUUUUUUUUUGGUUUUUUUUUAUAUUUUUAUUUUGGUUUUGUGAGGGUAAGGGGAGGUGUCGCAGGGAGUGCGCACCAUAUGCUCGACGAAAUGCUCGCGUGCAAAAGUGUGCUCUGCCGCAGCCUUUCGGUUUCAGGUACUUUUUAUUUUUUUUGAGGUCUAAUUGCUCGAUUAGUCCCUAACAUUUAUCCUUUUGACACUUCAUCCUAACCCCCUUCUCUUUGAUCUCUAAUUUUGACGAAACAAGUCACGCAACACUAAUAAAAUUUUUCAAUAGUUUCUGAUCAAUUUCGGCACUGAUUUUUUCAAAUUUUUAGUGAAUACUUAAAAAAGAGUCAUAGACAUCGUGGGCGAGCUCGAAAAUAUUGAAUUCCAUUUCGAUUUCAUAGUUUAAAAUAAGUAAAUCAAACAUAUCCUUACUUUUGAACCAAGCAUGUUCGUCUUAAAAAAAAGAUAUUACUAUAAUAUUUUUAAUUGGACUAAUUUGAAUUGAAGGAGAGAAAAUUCCUAUUUUAUUCCUAUUACUUUUUAUUGCAUAGAUAUCUCAAUAAUUUUACUUUUAAAUAUUAACAAGAAUAUAUCAGAUUUGUUAAACAUUAUGAUUAUAGUUAACAAAUUUAUUUAUCAAUAUAUUAAAAAUAAAUCUGAUAGUCACAAUGUGAUCAAGGCAUGGUCCUUUUGGGAUGAUUAUUGAUCAUGUUGUCUCCUUAGUAAAUUUUCUUGCGAUGGACCAUGACAUCAUGUAUGCUAGUUAGCAGAUAAUCCAAUAACUGGACCCGUAUCCGAUUUCAAAUCCGACCCGAAAUAUUAUGUUUGGGUUCAAUGGUUACAGCAUAGUAGAUGCUAUAUCUGUAGCAUCUACCUGUUGAAAUCCAAAAACUCGUCUUAAUCAUUUUACACUGGCAAAUUUAGUUACUACUUUUCAAAACAAAGGGACUUUUACAGUACUUUCCCGGAUCUGUUUUCAAAUCCUAUACAGACUCGGCCUGAACCCGACCCGUUAACUCUCCUGGGCCCUAUAUGAGAGGCUAGACCUACUCUUUUUAGGGUUAUGCAAGCAUGCUUAUCUUUGAGAAUAUCUUAUUAUCCUCAGUGGUUGGAAUAAAACUAUUCUUUGGAUAUCUUAUGUGACCCUUUUUUUGCCACAUACAAGAUUUUGCAUGUGAGGAUAUCUCCAUUGGGUGAGUUGCUUCUUUGUACAAUGCCACUUUGGAAUAAUCUUUGUUCCCAUCAUUUGAUUGUGUCGGAAUAACUAUGAUUGGGGCAAAGGGGACACAAGCUUUGUACCUUAGCUGGCUCACUUUGGAGUACUUAUUUACUUAUAUUUUUGGCUUUGGGAAUGGUCCCAUUGGGAUCUUAUGAUAUUGAUUUAUGAAUGGUGGUGAGCUCUUCAAGGUGUUGGUCAUUUUAAGAGAUAUUAAGUUUCACAUUUUUCUUUGUCUUCUUGAUGUUUGGCCUGAGGCAUGGAUUAAAAUAAUCGGUUAUUUAUGAUGUAGGAAAGUGAAGAUCAGAUAUUGUUAUUAACAUGUUUGGUUUAUGAUUGGAAUAAAAACGGAAAAAAAUAUUGGAUUGCAUUUGAGUCGAAAAAUGAAAUGACGAAUCAUCUAAAAAUAUUUGGUUUAUUAUUGAAACGGAAAUCAGAAUGGGCAUUAAAAUACCUAGGAUUUCAGAGGGCUUUGAUUAAGAGAGAGAAAAGUGAUAAAGGGAGAGGAAUGGGAGGUGUUUGCGAGAGAGGGUGGCAAGAUUGGGUCAAUGAAAUAUAGUCGGACCACCGCCAAUUUUUUUGGCCCUAAAUUUCAAGAUUGGCCCAGCCCAAGUAGGCAGGAGGGCCUAAACCGAUCCGCUUAAAAUUGGACUUGGUAAGCUAAGGUGAGCAAGUCGGGCUUUGAAAUACUCAGUGUCUUCGUGUGAUAGAUUUAUAGCAAAGUUUAAUGUAUCUGUUCUGUGAAUAAUGAUACUCCAAUGCUUGGCCGGUGAAUAGCAGUCGCAAUUGCUACGGUCGUACCGUAGCAAAAUCUACUGUGGGCUAGCCCGCCACGGAACUAGGUCAAACUUGCUCUUAGUACCUCACGGCCUAGCGGUUUAACUAGAAAAAGAAAACUCAGCAUCUUCAUAUGCCUUUGCCCUACCUUUUCUUAGCCCAGUAAAUUAAGUAGUGCACCAAUCGUCCCUAGCGCAAGUGGCAAAGAGUUUGAUGGUUGGUACCCAAGAUCCCAAGUUCGAAUCCUAGGUAAUUCAGCUUUUCAGCUAAGUUUAUUUUCUAAAAAUGAAAUAAACAAAGCGGGUAACAUGCUACCUAUCUCUCUCUCAAAAAAACUCAAAAAAAAAAGAAAGUAAAUUAAGUAGUUCUAAAACGGUCACUUAAUAUUCUUAUCGGAGUCAAAAACACGUUACCACUAAUGUAAUGAAUUAACAUCAUUUCAACGUUUUACAUAUAACAGAUGUUGCUUCUACAACCCAUUUUGGAUUGUGAUCUUCCAACUUUACCAUCUAAGGACUAAGUUGUCUCCACACUUGUAUAAUCACCUUUCUUUUACACUGAAAAUUAAAAAGAGUUGGCUGAGCUUUAGGAUGAUGAGUUGUAAGAUUCCCACCCUUGGUGGAUUGUAGAGUUAAUAUUUUAUCUUAUAUUUGCUUUAAAGUAUGAGGUUAAACAAUUGACUAGGCCAAAGCAUGAUGUAAGGAGAUCAAGUGAAAUGCAAACAACUCAAUGCUUUUACCUUUUUCUAUUGAUGAUUGUAGCUGAUGUGUCAAAACAUUACAACUACAUAAGCUGAAAAUAAAAUCAUGUAUUGAAAAAGCAUUGUCAUUUUUUAUUUCCUAUAAACCAAUUUAGCUUGGCCAGCUAAUUAACUUCCUACUCUGCAAGAGAGGCAUAUGGGGUUUUUGUCUCUGUCCAUAGUGUGAGGUAAUGUGGUGUGUAAAUUAUGCUUGAUGAAGCUCCUGGCUCAACAAGUGUUCUCUCAUUUGUAUAAUCAUAGCUAAAUUCUACUUUUAUUUGAAGGGAUUAGAAUUGCGUCUUUUGCUUGACAUUUGAAACAACUUCUCUGUUUCAGAAUGUACUUGUUAUAUAUUUGACGAAUAGGGUUUUUGGAGUGAUGAGACUCUAGCAAUAACUUUUCUAGAUCACGGAAACAAAAUGCUGCAAUUUAGAUUUUCUCUUUUUUUUUAGAGAGAAAGACAACAUGUUAUUUAUUUCGUUCCUUUUUUAGAAUUAAAUCCAAUUAGAAAUGUGAAGCAAUUAAGCUUCAAAGUCGGACCUUAAAUACCAAUUAUUAAGCUCUUAGCCAAUUAUACACUAGGC
rnacentral:lncRNA from 1 species